CGGGGCAUGGCGCAGGUUGGUAGCGCGCUUGGUUCGGGACUAAGAGGUCGGCGGUUCAAGUCCGCCUGCCCCGACCA
rnacentral:tRNA from 2 species